UCGGGAAUUUUGGGCAAUGGGCGAAAGCCUGACCCAGCAACGCCGCGUGAAGGAUGAAGCUUUUCGGAGUGUAAACUUCAUAAGAAUGGGACGAAUAAGGAGGGGUUAACACCCCCUUUGAUGACGGUACCAUUUGUAAGCUCCGGCUAACUCCGUGCCAGCAGCCGCGGUAAUACGGGGGGAGCAAGCGUUGUUCGGAUUUACUGGGCGUAAAGGGCGCGUAGGCGGCGCAACAAGUCACUUGUGAAAUCUCCGGGCUUAACCCGGAGCGGCCAAGUGAUACUGUCGUGCUAGAGUGCGGAAGGGGCUACUGGAAUUCUCGGUGUAGCGGUGAAAUGCGUAGAUAUCGAGAGGAACACCUGCGGCGAAGGCGGGUAGCUGGGCCGACACUGACGCUGAGGCGCGAAAGCCAGGGGAGCGAACGGGAUUAGAUACCCCGGUAGUCCUGGCCUUAAACGAUGGAUACUUGGUGUCCGGGGUUACAUAGUCCCCGGGUGCCGGCGCUAACGCAUUAAGUAUCCCGCCUGGGGAGUACGGUCGCAAGACUGA
rnacentral:rRNA from 1 species